AAGCACCGAAAUGAAAGGAAAUAAGUUUGCAUCGUAACUACUGUAAUACCUGAUAGAAUGUCACCAGUGUCACUGAGACUUUAUAUUCUGUUACUUUCUUUGACUUUGACUGUCCAAGUAGUUCAAGUAUUUGGACAAACUGAAAACUGUCCAACAGAAAAGGAUAUUAUUUCACGAGGGAAAUGUUACACUUUCUUGAAACAACGCCUAACAUGGCUUCAA
rnacentral:sRNA from 1 species